GAUGAAGAACGUAGCGAAAUGCGAUAAGUAAUGUGAAUUGCAGAAUUCAGUGAAUCAUCGAAUCUUUGAACGCACCUUGCACCCUUUGGCAUUCCGAAGGGUAUGCUCGUUUGAGUGUCAUUGUACUCUCACACUUCCAAUCUUUGGAUUGGGAGCAGUGGACUUGGGUGUUGCUGCUUACUGUGGCUCACCUCAAAUCGAUUCGUGCACCUCUUGGUUGGACAUAGUACGGCGUGAUAAGUGUCUUCGCCGGCACCUCAGUAGAGGGUGGCUGAUCAGGAGCUCUGUGCUUCAAACCGUCCUCGGACAACAACUGACAACUUGACCUCAAAUCGAGUAGGACUUCCCGCUGAACUUAAGCAUAUCAAUAAGCGGAGGA
rnacentral:misc_RNA from 1 species